AUGAACGCUGGCGGCGUGCUUAACACAUGCAAGUCGAACGAAGCACUUUAACCUGAUUCUUCGGAUGAAGGUUUUUGUGACUGAGUGGCGGACGGGUGAGUAACGCGUGGGUAACCUGCCCCAUACAGGGGGAUAACAGUUAGAAAUGACUGCUAAUACCGCAUAAGACCACAGAGCCGCAUGGCUCGGUGGGAAAAACUCCGGUGGUAUGAGAUGGACCCGCGUCUGAUUAGGUAGUUGGUGGGGUAACGGCCUACCAAGCCAACGAUCAGUAGCCGACCUGAGAGGGUGACCGGCCACAUUGGGACUGAGACACGGCCCAAACUCCUACGGGAGGCAGCAGUGGGGAAUAUUGCACAAUGGGGGAAACCCUGAUGCAGCGACGCCGCGUGAGCGAAGAAGUAUUUCGGUAUGUAAAGCUCUAUCAGCAGGGAAGAAAAUGACGGUACCUGACUAAGAAGCACCGGCUAAAUACGUG
rnacentral:rRNA from 1 species